ensembl:lncRNA
GAAAAGGCCAAUUAAAGCAGGUUCAUUGCUCCCAGCAAUACCUAGUGCUAUUUUUUAGACAUUCACAGCGCUGGCUCAGGAUCGAUAUCUUCAUCCUGUGUGCGUGUGUGUUUAAGAGAAUUGUUGUGAAUAUCUAACAGGAAAUUUGCUUUUUUCCUCCGAAUAUUUUAUGGGAGAAUCCUUGGUUCCAGUCAGAGGGGAAAGUGUGCUAAGAGGUUGCCGUGGUUCAGCUACAAGUCCACAACUGUAGCCAUCCCCAUCACUCCCGUAUACACACACACAUAUAAUGUGUGGUCGAUGGAGGCACUCUGACUGUGAAGAACAGGUGUAAAAUGUGCUGCUGCUAAACGCCUCUCCACAUAUCCCAAAGGAAAUGCAGCCUCUGCACUCUCCCUUACCCUGUGUGUUCACAUCCGUAGGCCAUACAAAAUG